rnacentral:lncRNA from 1 species
UCUGUUUUUUCCUCCCUCCAUUUUGCAUGUCACGAGAUGAGUAGCUGAGAUUCUUAUGCACUAACAUCAGUUCCCUUUUGGGGGCCUCAACACGGUUCCAGAGAUCUACUGGUGGCUCCACUGGGGAGCCCCCCUCCAGCAAGCUGCCCCCCUGAAGAUCUACCUAUUAAGAAAAAGCCCAGGCAGAGCACAGUGAGUUGGCUGGUCAGCCUGGUACUUGCCAUUUGCCGUGUAUGCAGUAGGUGGUGAGUUUGUCGAGACGAGCUUAGAGAAUUGUUACUGAGGAAGGCUCUAUGAGGUCCUAAGGUUUUUGCUUCUUCAUUCAAAUUACAAAAGGGAUCUCAAGAGACCCUUGCAUUGAACAGAUGAAACUACUCCGCUCCUCAGGGCAAUUAGGGAGGGUAGACCUGCAUCUUUCUUCUUUGUACACACUGGGACAAGACGACUGCUUCAUUGAUUCUUGAGCAAGAGGAACCGUGAAAGAAAGCCAAUUUUUGAUGUUGAAGUGACGUAGCAUUUCUGCUGUAGUUGGAAAUAGCACUGUCUCUCCAGUGUCCCAAAUUCACUUCCAUUAAACGGUCGAUGUGAUAAA